CCUUUCCCUACCAGUUAAAUAUCAGCCCUGUGCCAUGGACUGAGGAGAUAUGAAGAAGGAAAUCAACACAAGAUUGUGUUGGCACAAGAGAAAGCUGCUCUGAAUGGUGAGAACAGGAGUCAGCCCACCUAUCCUAAGUCAAAGGAACCCACCAGUUCCAAGGAGGAGGCACAGAUGAAAAGAAGAAAGGAAAGAAGUGAAAGAAGAAGAACAAGUGAGAGGUGGGAGGAGAAGGACAAGGAUGGUGGAGCUGAAGCAGUACCUGGCACCGUGGCCAUCCUUCCAAGUUUGUCUUGGCUCCUGACUUCAACCAGUGGUUUUUGAUACCUUUCUCACGUCAUUUCCCAGGGUAGCACAAGCUGCCUUGUGAAUUACCAGAGUGAAGAAAUGGCCCCAAGGGACAUCAUCUUGAAGCCACGUGAGGAAAGACACAGCCACAUGAUUCUCUACUGAAAACAACCAACUUCCAAGAAAUUCAGAUUGCUUUGAGGAAAGAGUGGUAUUAGAAAGGACAACCCAGCUUCUCGCCUGUGCAUCAGAGGGAAGAGAAGUACAGGGCCUCUGGCCACUGCCCCUUGGGACCUAUUUUGUGACAGAGCCAGAAAAGAUGGUUUUUAGGGUAGGAAUUCAUACUGAUUUUCCUUACAUAGCGCAUUUGUGUUGCUAUUCCUUUUUCUAAUCAGCCAGGGUCUCCUAAGAAAAACAGAGUGAAUGUUCCUAGAAAGUGUCAAGGGAGUGAAGUAGAGGACCCUGGAGACACUCCCUCCUCAGGACAGGAUGACAUAGCUUUGCCCUCGGUGAGGAGAGCAGGGGGCUCACAGCUUCCUCAGUGGCACUGCUUGGCCGCCUGGUUCGGUCCUAGAGCUGCAUUUCUUUCUAUCAGGAUUAACACUUUGUCUCCAGUUUGCUUUCUUACUCCUCUAAGUUCUUUCUUUGACUCCAAGCAGCCUCAAUGCACCCCGGUAGGAUGCUACUCGCCCGGUUUGCUGAGGACUGAGAGGGUUUCCAGCAUACAGGAUUUUCAGUUUUCAAACCACGACAGUCUCAGGCCAACCGGAAUGAGAUCAUCCCCGAUCACCAGUGAGUUAACAGCAGAACAGCUCAAUCACUGCUGCACAGAGCAGGAAAGAGACACCCUGCACUCUGCUCAGUAGAAUACUAGAGGAUAGAAUAAAAAUAUGUUUGGGAUUUACAUGUCAGGCAAUCAUUCACGUGACUGUAAGAGUCAUGCUGCAGAGCAGACAAAUUCUCCAGUGCGUACAGCCAAGAUAAUUACAUGCAAAUCUGGAAGAGCCUGAGCUGUUUCACCUUGUAAACCCACAGCUGUGAACAAUUUUCUCAUUCACAAAGCCCUGGUCUUCCGGCAGCAAAGCCUGGUUUUCCUUCCCUAACUCAGAGGGCCCUAUGGAAGGCAGGUCUGAAAGCCCAUGGAGAUAGCAGAUUCUCCAGGAGGGAGAGGAGUAGAGAGUAAAACCCUCUGAAAUUGGGCCUCACGUUAGCGGUCAACCGUUUAAGUGAAGGUAUAUUCACAGGGACCCUCAUGAAUAUGGGUUUUACAAACUACUCUACAUUCAGAGCCCUGGCCUGCCCAAGGACUGAGUGUGUUGAUUAACUCUGGGAAACUCCUGAGAGGGCCGGAGGACAGCCCCAGGGGCCUGGCAUGGAGCAUGGGAGGCUCAAGUUGGAACAGGCUCA
ensembl:lncRNA